rfam:Macropus eugenii PEG10 gene for paternally expressed 10, complete cds.
GGGAAACUCCCUGGCCCCGCUGUAGAGGGACCCCCAGCGCCCGGGCCUGAACCAGAAAGGUCCCCC